rnacentral:rRNA from 1 species
GACGAAGGAUGCAAGCGUUAUCCGGAUUCAUUGGGUUUAAAGGGAGCGUAGGCGGCCCUGUAAGUCAGUGGUGAAAUCUUUGGGCUUAACCCAAAAAUUGCCAUUGAUACUGCAGGGCUUGAGUACAGUUGCUGUGGGCGGAAUAUGACAUGUAGUGGUGAAAUACAUAGAGAUGUCAUAGAACACCGAUUGCGAAGGCAGCUCACAAAACUGUAACUGACGCUGAGGCUCGAAAGUGCGGGGAUCAAACAGG